AGUGAACGCUGGCGGUAGGCCUAACACAUGCAAGUCGAACGGCAGCACAGUAAGAGCUUGCUCUUACGGGUGGCGAGUGGCGGACGGGUGAGGAAUACAUCGGAAUCUACUUUUUCGUGGGGGAUAACGUAGGGAAACUUACGCUAAUACCGCAUACGACCUACGGGUGAAAGCAGGGGAUCUUCGGACCUUGCGCGAUUGAAUGAGCCGAUGUCGGAUUAGCUAGUUGGCGGGGUAAAGGCCCACCAAGGCGACGAUCCGUAGCUGGUCUGAGAGGAUGAGAAGCGACACUGGGAGUGAGAGACGUCGCAGAGUCGUACGGGAGGCCGAGGUGGUGAAUAGUGGAAAAGGGGAGAAAGAAAGACCCAGCACUGCCGCGGGAGUGAUGAAGGAAUAAGGGUGGUAAAGCUCGUUUACCCGGGAUGAUAAUGACAGUACCGGGAGAAUAAGAUACGGCUAACUUCGGG
rnacentral:rRNA from 1 species